CGCGUAGGUGGUUCGUUAAGUUGGAUGUGAAAUCCCCGGGCUCAACCUGGGAACUGCAUUCAAAACUGUCGAGCUAGAGUAUGGUAGAGGGUGGUGGAAUUUCCUGUGUAGCGGUGAAAUGCGUAGAUAUAGGAAGGAACACCAGUGGCGAAGGCGACCACCUGGACUGAUACUGACACUGAGGUGUGAAAGCGUGGGGAGCAAACA
rnacentral:rRNA from 1 species